AAUAAGGUAGGUGGGGUUUGGACUAGCCGGUACAAUAAGGUAGGUGGGGUUUGGACUAGCCGGUACAAUAAGGUAGGUGGGGGUUGGACUAGCCGGUACAAUAAGGUAGGUGGGGUUUGGACUAGCCGGUACAAUAAGGUAGGUGGGGUUUGGACUAGCCGGUAUAAUAAGGUAGGUGGGGUUUGGACUAGCCGGUAUAAUAAGGUAGGUGGGGUUUGGACUAGCCGGUAUAAUAAGGUAGGUGGGGUUUGGACUAGCCGGUAUGAUAAGGUAGGUGGGGUUUGGACUAGCCGGUAUGAUAAGGUAGGUGGGGUUUGGACUAGCCGGUAUAAUAAGGUAGGUGGGGUUUGGACUAGCCAGUGUAAUAAGGUAGGUGGGGGUUGGACUGGACAGUAAAAUAAGGUAAGUGGGGUUUGCACUGAUUGAAUAUGUUCACAUCACAGGAGGUUGGUGGCACCUUAAUUGGGGAGGACUGGCGCAUGGUAAUGGCUGGUGCGGAGUCAGUGGAAUGAUAUGCCAUUCCAUUGACUCCGUUCCGGACAUUAUUAUGAGCCGCCCCCACAGCAGCUUCCUGUGGUUCGCAUGUUAAGUUGAGCUUGUUUCAGCCCAGAAGCCCUAUAAGAACACGAGGCACAUUUACAACAUAAUGAGAGUGGAUUUAUAAAGCACUACACUCACCAGCUGGAAAGUGAUAUAGGCCAAUUAGGAGGAUGAUUAGGUGGCCAGGUUGGGAAUUUAACCCCCUACUCUUACAAUAAAUGCCAUGGGAUUUUUAAUGACCACAGAGAGUUAGGACACCCAUUUAACUUCCCAUCUGAAAGACAGCACCCUAUGCAGGGCAAUGUCCCCUUCACUGCCCUGGGGCAUUAGGAUCUCCUUAGACCAGAUGAAAGAGUGCCUCCUAUUGGCCCUCCAACACCGUUUCCAGCAGCAUCUGGUCUUCCAUCAAGGGACUGACCGGGACCAACCGUGCUUUGCUUCAGGGGCAAACCAGCAGUGGGAUGCAGGGUGCUAUGCUGCUGGCAGUAGACUGCUGAAAUAAUAGUUAGAAAGUUGUG
ensembl:lncRNA